rnacentral:rRNA from 1 species
GACAGAGGAGCCAAGCGUUGUCCGGAUUGACUGGGCGUAAAGCGCACGCAGGCGGUUGCGCGCGUGGGGUGUGAAAUCUGGCCGCUUAACGGCCAGGCGCCAUCCCAUACGGCGCGACUGGAGUGAUGCAGAGGUCGAUGGAAUUGCCGGUGUAGUGGUGAAAUGCGUAGAGAUCGGCAGGAACACCCAGGGGGAAACCAGUCGACUGGGCAUCUACUGACGCUGAGGUGCGAGAGCGUGGGGAGCGAACAGG